rnacentral:rRNA from 1 species
UACGGAGGGUGCGAGCGUUGUCCGGAAUCACUGGGCGUAAAGGGCGCGUAGGCGGCCCGGUAAGCGUGUGGUGAAAGCCCGGGGCUCAACCCCGGGUCGGCCGUGCGAACUGCUGGGCUGGAGCACUGUAGGGGCGGGUGGAAUUCCGGGUGUAGCGGUGGAAUGCGUAGAGAUCGGAAAGAACACCAACGGCGAAAGCACUCUGCUGGGCCGACACUGACACUGAGAGACGAAAGCUAGGGGAGCGAAUGGG